UACGGGGGGGGCAAGCGUUGUUCGGAAUUACUGGGCGUAAAGGGCGCGUAGGCGGAUCUUUAAGUCGGGGGUGAAAGCCCAGGGCUCAACCCUGGAAUGGCCUUCGAUACUGGAGAUCUUGAGACCGGAAGAGGUGAGUGGAACUGCGAGUGUAGAGGUGAAAUUCGUAGAUAUUCGCAAGAACACCAGUGGCGAAGGCGGCUCACUGGUCCGGUUCUGACGCUGAGGCGCGAAAGCGUGGGGAGCAAACGGG
rnacentral:rRNA from 1 species